CUACGGGAGGCAGCAGUAGGGAAUCUUGCGCAAUGGGCGAAAGCCUGACGCAGCCAUGCCGCGUGAAUGAUGAAGGUCUUAGGAUUGUAAAAUUCUUUCACCGGGGAAGAUAAUGACGGUACCCGGAGAAGAAGCCCCGGCUAACUUCGUGCCAGCAGCCGCGGUAAUACGAAGGGGGCUAGCGUUGCUCGGAAUUACUGGGCGUAAAGGGCGCGUAGGCGGACAUUUAAGUCAGGGGUGAAAGCCCGGGGCUCAACCUCGGAAUUGCCCUUGAUACUGGAUGUCCUGAGUUCGGGAGAGGUGAGUGGAAUGCCGAGUGUAGAGGUGAAAUUCGUAGAUAUUCGGCGGAACACCAGUGGCGAAGGCGACUCACUGGCCCGAUACUGACGCUGAGGCGCGAAGGCGUGGGGAGCGAACGGGAUUAGAUACCCGGGUAGUCC
rnacentral:rRNA from 1 species